GCCCGGUGCAUUGUGGGCUGACGUCUUGGGGUUUGACUGUCUAGUGACGGUGGCUGCCGCGAGCCAGGCGGACGCGGGCUCUCGCCGCCUCUGACCGAAGCGGGCUCAAGUUCAGGGCUCGGGCGGGAAGGCAGGAGAUGCAGGCACCCGGAAGGCUCGGGAACCCGGCCAGGUUGUCAGCUUGGAUAUUUGCAUUCACAUCACAACUGGAGUAAAGAGGCAGAAAUGAAAAUAAGAACUGAAAUACAAGCAUCUGGCCUCCUUUGAAGACCUUUCUCUGUUAUCACCACAGUACUUGGCUCC
rnacentral:lncRNA from 1 species